rnacentral:rRNA from 1 species
CCCUUGUAUGCUUAUUUAUAAAAUUAAUACAAAAAGUUAAAAUUAAAAAUUUUGGCAGUUAAUCAAUUAUUAGAGGAGCUUGUCAAAAUUGAGAACUUACUCUUUAUAUUUAAAUAUAAAAUUUGUUUAUUCAUCUCUGUUAUUAAAUAUAUUUACAAUAGAUUAAUUUUAUCUACUAUUUCAGGUCAAGAUGUAGCAUUUUAUAUUUAUGAUUAGCUACAAUUAUAUAAUAUAGUAGUUACUAAACUAGUAUUAAUUUUUAUAAAAUGAAUUUAAUUGUAAUAAAAACUAAAAUAUUUUUAUGAAUUAAAAUUAUUAGUGU